GGAGAUAUAGUCAGUGGUAGAGCACUUGCCUAGUAUGUAUGAGGCCCUGAGUUCAAGUCCCAGUAACACCA
rnacentral:tRNA from 2 species